GUAUAUAGUUUCCAGAUGAGUGUUUUAUUAAUGGUAACGAGACUUUACAUUUAGAUAAUGCUCCACAAUUUACAUUGAUAUUUCCUCCCUAGCAAUGUGUCUUUUACAUAGUAGUUACCCAAAAUGUGUUGGAGAACCGAUCACCGCAACGAGGUUGGGGGGCAGAGCAGCUCAGAUGAAAAAUAUGCUGGGCAGAUGUUGUUAUUUUCAUAUUCAGAUGUGUGAGCAGAACCUGGAGACACUGAGUUACUCUGUUCAAAGUCAUUUCCAGAUGUUAAAGCAGGUUGUCUGAUUUGCCGUCUAGUAACCUUUGUUUUCAAUAUAUUGCCCGGAACAACAACAACAACGACGACAACAACAACAACAACAAAAAGAUCUCUCCGAGAAGCCUGUUUAUCCACCAAAGCGCAGCGUGUUUAGAAAGGUGGACCCAAUGUAACCACAAGGGCUCUUCGAAGAAGGAGAGAAGAGAGUCAGAGUCUGAGAGAAAGCCGGCCAUAUGAUGAUGGAAACCAAGGCUGGAAUUUCUCAUGGAGAAGACAGAGAAAGGGACCAUGAGCCAAGGAAUGCAGGUGGCCUCUAGAAGCUGGAAACAACGUGGAAACAUUCUCCCCUGGAGCCCCCACAGGAACCGGCCCUGCCAACACCUUGAUUUUAGCCCAAUGAGACCCAUUUCAGAUAUCUGUCUUCCAAGACUGUAAGGUAAUAAAUCUGAAUUGUUUUAAUCUAC
rnacentral:lncRNA from 1 species